CAAGCACCGCAGUCCAGGCAGAUAGGAUGGGGAUGUGGGAACGGCAUAUAUGCUUCUGAAGAUAAGUCUGAUUUAGUGAUUGAAGUGUCUGGAAAGAAACUUGAAGCGCAUAAAGCCGUUUUGGCUGAGAAAAGUGACUAUUUCAAGGCGCGGCAGUCCCGAGACGUAUGCCGAGUAAAGGGGGUGCGUUUUAAGGCUUUGACAAUAUUGGUGGAUUCCAUUUACUCGUCCCGAAUGCAGAGCGCCUGGAGAGGGCUAAGGCUGUUUACAGCAAGACCAGGGCUACGGCUGUUUACAGCAGGACCAGGGCUUUGCUCCAAUGUAUGCUUUGCCUGGACACACAGUCCAGCCAGCAGGGACAAAGAGAGGGUAAUUCACUCAACCCUCAAGGGGAAAAGACUCACUGUGAAAUGAGAAUAUGACCCUGUCUGCCAGUGAAUGAAAAUCCAAUUGUGCUUACACACACACACACACACACACACACACACACACACACACACACACACACACACACACACACACACACACACACACACACACACACACACACAGUGUGAGGCCUGUGACUUGCUGCCAAGUCUCGGUGGGCCCAUAUGCUGAUGGUCUCUGCCCUAAGGUGUGCCAUGUUUACUUACUGUGGGAGCCUAUAGGCUCUAACAAUAUAAUCAAUCAUCCCCUCACCUCUCUGUCAUAGUAAUAGAUCCUGUUUCAAAGGGAAUGACAUUCAAAGACGUGAAGUCAUCCUUACAGUAUGUCGUUAUUUUAUCCUGUUCAGUGAAGAGUGCACCUUUGAAAAUGUAGCUGCCUUUCUGUGCCACACCCAUUGCUGAGGGCAAGGCCAGGUUUUAAUGUACUGUAACUUCAAGUCCUAGCUUCCUCUGUCUUUUAGGGUGUUUCUUACCGCAAUAAAAACCUUUUUUGAUUAUAUAUUUAAAAAAAAUAUUAUUAUUUUUGAGGAUUAUUAGUGCUUGUGUUUAUAUGACAAAGAUCCCGCCAUUAAGGUCUAUAUUUAGCUUUCUGCUGGGUCUAAUUAAAAGUCUUCAUGAAUGAGCAUGCUGUGUGAGUUAAGUUUAUGUGGACCAAGGCAAUCGACUGCCGAACUAAUGGCCGAAGGCUAAUAAUACUAAUUCAAGGCUUGUAAGCUUGUGAGUGAUGGUGUUGGGUGUUUCACUUUCAGUAUGUUUGAAUUGCUGUAAUAAAAACAGUUAUUUGCA